rnacentral:rRNA from 1 species
GACGAACGCUGGCGGCGUGCCUAAUACAUGCAAGUAGGACGCAGUUGCGAACGGGUGAGUAACGCGUAGGUAACUGCCUAUUAGAGGGGGAUAACUAUUGGAAACGAUAGCUAAUACCGCAUACUAGUAGAUGGACCUGCGUUGUAUUAGCUAGUAGGUAGGGGAAUGGCCUACCUAGGCGACGGUACAUAGCCGACCCUAGAGGGUGGACGGGCAAACUGGGACCGGGACACGGGCCCGACACCCAAGGGAGGGAACAGGAGGGGAAUUUUGGGCAUGGGGGGAAACCUGACCGGGCAACGCCGCGGUAGGUGAGAAAGGUUUUGGGUCGUAAAGCUUUUUUGUUAAGGAAACGGUACUUAACCAGAAAGGCACGGCUAACUACGUGCCAGCAGCCGCGGUAAUAC